GUGCCAGCCGCCGCGGUACUACCGGCAGCCCGAGUGAUGGCCGAUCUUAUUGGGCCUAAAGCGUCCGUAGCUGGCCGCGCGAGUCCAUCGGGAAAUCCACCUGCUCAACAGGUGGGCGUCCGACGGAAACUGUGUGGCUUGGAACCGGAAGGCUCAGAGGGUACGUCCGGGGUAGGAGUGAAAUCCCGUAAUCCCGGACGGACCACCGAUGGCGAAAGCACUCUGAGAAGACGGCUUCGACAGUGAGGGACGAAAGCUAGGGUCUCAAACCGGAUUAGAUACCCGAGUAGUCC
rnacentral:rRNA from 1 species